rnacentral:miRNA from 1 species
UGCGCUUGCUUGUGCGGCUGUG